ACCCAAUGUGAACGUUACCAAACUGUUGCCUCGGCGGGAUCUCUGCCCCGGGUGCGUCGCAGCCCCGGACCAAGGCGCCCGCCGGAGGACCAACCAAAACUCUUUUUGUAUACCCCCUCGCGGGUUUUUUAUAAUCUGAGCCUUCUCGGCGCCUCUCGUAGGCGUUUCGAAAAUGAAUCAAAACUUUCAACAACGGAUCUCUUGGUUCUGGCAUCGAUGAAGAACGCAGCGAAAUGCGAUAAGUAAUGUGAAUUGCAGAAUUCAGUGAAUCAUCGAAUCUUUGAACGCACAUUGCGCCCGCCAGUAUUCUGGCGGGCAUGCCUGUCCGAGCGUCAUUUCAACCCUCGAACCCCUCCGGGGGGUCGGCGUUGGGGAUCGGCCCUCCCUUAGCGGGUGGCCGUCUCCGAAAUACAGUGGCGGUCUCGCCGCAGCCUCUCCUGCGCAGUAGUUUGCACACUCGCAUCGGGAGCGCGGCGCGUCCACAGCCGUUAAACACCCAACUUCCGAAAUGUUGACCUCGGAUCAGGUAGGAAUACCCGCUGAACUUAAG
rnacentral:rRNA from 1 species